UCUUGUUGCUUUAUUUUUGUCCAGUCAUCGUAUUAUCUAGUUAAGAAUUCAUAAUGACCUGGGAACCUAAUCAGCAAACAGGUCAAUUCUUAGGAGAUUUUGUGAGUCAAAGAUAAGUGAUGUAGUUGGCUGGGUGGUGGUGGCACACACCUUUAGUCCCAGCACUCAGGAGGCAGAGGCAGGUGGAUCUCUGUGAGUUGGAGGCCGGGCUGGACUGACAGCCCCAAAACAAUACAGAGAAACCCUAUCUCGUAAAAACCAAAAAAAAAAAAAAAAAAAGAAAGAUAAGUGAUGUAGUAAGAAAGCGAAAGUGUUGGGUUUGCAGCUGGGUCUUCUGAGCACAAGACUUUCCAUGAUGCAAUGCUAACUUAGUAAAAGCACCAACACUGUUUCCCUCUCCUUGAGAACAUUUACCUUUGUAUUUCUCUUGAUUUUAAGAAUUGUAGAGCUUGUGUUUUUUAAGCUCAUUGUGGAAAUUUGUGUUUGCACAGCUGAAAUGGUGUGAAAUACUGAUAACAACUCAGGGCUGCAGGUUGGUCCCAUACCUUAGCAAAUACAGGCAGAAUAACAGACAGUGAUUCAUGGGACUAGGUAUUAAUAUGAAAUAUAAUUUAUUUUGGGGAAAAGUCACUUACAGAAGAAACAGAUAGCCACCACAGGAUCCUGCUCUAAGGAUGUGUGCAGCCUGCUCUUCUGUGACCUGCCCAGAAGCAAGAGAUCUCUGAGGUCCAGGACCCCAGAUCUAGUCCUCUCCUCCAUCAUGUCCUCACCUGUGACCACACCCAAACGGGCAUGAGCAAUGCUACAGGUGUGGGUGGGGUAGAUAUCUCACUACAAUUCUCCUUGUAGUCUAAGGGAAAAGAUUAAUUUUUGAAACAGAACUAUAUACAAAGAUAGCAAAUAACAGGUAUGCUCUAGGAGAAGGAAAAGUGGGAGCAAACACACUUAAGACCUAUCACCAGUGAAGCAACUAGAGCAAAUGACAAAAACUACAUAUGCUGUCCUAGGAUAAAGGCAUAAUAGAGAUUGCUAUAGAGCUGCCCUAAGCUGGAAAGCUUAAGUCUUAUAUCUAAUAUUUCUAUCUAGGAAGAGAAAACAAUAAUUCGGACAAUCUAAUCAUUAACCUCAUCAAAGACCUGAGAAGGAGGGUAACAAUAUUAGGAUAGGCAGGAAGUGUAGGUGAGCAGCUUCCAAAAGGUGCAGCGAAGACAGAAACAUCAGGCUACCUGGACAGUCACCCAAAGUCUUACAGCAGCAUAGGGGCAGCCAGCUUUGGUUAAGGUCUAGAGUAUCUGACUGGCCCUGACUUGGCUAGUUUUAGCAGUCUUCUGAGUUUAUCUUCUACAAGCACAGUAGGGACAGAAUGUCCAAAGUCAGCAGUCAAGGUGGGGGUAGUUUUUUGCUCAAGAGGCCAUUAGCUGAAGAGAGAACAGUUCCAGAAGGAGUGACAUCGGUGCCCAACAUCUUCUUGGGAAUAGCUUGCUGCUGUCAGGAGCAAUUGUGUCUCAUGUCAAUGGAGUACUAGUAUUAAAACAUUUAAGUUCCGUAUUUUGCAGGUCUUUGAAGUGUUUGAAGAUCAAAUAUCUGUAUCUGACUAAUCUCAUAGAAAAUAUAUGAAGAUCCUGAAAUGAAUAUAAAUGACUGUGACUAUAUCUCUGUGAACAAACAGUGUCUGUUUCUUGAUGAAGCUACAUCACAUAAAUAUAUUGGAGAAAGCUGGAAGAGGGUUAGAAAACUUUUUGGAAAAUCUGAAGUUAAUCUUUGCCCUCAGGGAGAGACACUACCUAAUCACUCUAAAGGACAAACAUCCCUAAAGAAAUUAUGACUCCAGGUGGAAUUAGAAAUAACAAAUUCCAGAAGAGCAAUUGAUGACCAAGUCAAGCACACCACUCCACAGAGAGACCAGAGUGCAGGAGCAGAGCUGUGUCCAGUUUCUAGAUGAUGAAAUGGAAACUCAGAGAAAAUGAAGUAAUUUGCUCCUGAUAACAAGGAUGAUGAACCCAGAGGAGUGGCCACCAUGAACAUCAUCCUGGGUGUGCUUUGGAUCAAAGAGAUCACUGAUGAGUCAAAGACCAUCAGGAAGCUGUUCCCAGGCUUGUUUCUUGAGGACCAGUGGUUCUUGUGCUGGUGAAUGCCUUGGAUUUUUUUCAUUGAAAUAUUUUCAGAAAAAAUAUUGUGGAGGUCAGUCUAAGAAAUAAAUCACUACGGGCCAUAUUCACUGUGAGGCUCAUGGAUGUACAUCAAACAGCCACAGCAUCACUUUGGUGUCAGAAGUUUCUGAACCUGGAUCCAGGUGCUCAGAAAAGUGACUGCUCCUCAGCCUGACCAGGCCCAUGUGGACUCUCCUUUCGCUAAGUUCUCCCCCACUUCACUCGGCAAGGCAAAAUUCCUGCCACUGUGAACCAGCACCUUCUACCUGCCGGUAAACUCAGGAAAGAAUACUGGACAUAUAGAUUCCUGAAGAAGAAUGAAUAGCUACUCUGAGG